ACAUGCCUACAACAUAGCAUUAAUGCACCAGAUCCCAUUAGAACUCCGCAAUUAAGAAAACUUGGGAUAGAGGAGUAAUGGGAUGGGUGAUCUCCUAGGAAGUCAUAUUGUUUCACAUGCC
rnacentral:rRNA from 1 species